rnacentral:rRNA from 1 species
AUUGAACGCUGGCGGCAGGCCUAACACAUGCAAGUCGAACGGUAACAGGAAGAAGCUUGCUUCUUUGCUGACGAGUGGCGGACGGGUGAGUAAUGUCUGGGAAACUGCCUGAUGGAGGGGGAUAACUACUGGAAACGGUAGCUAAUACCGCAUAACGUCGCAAGACCAAAGAGGGGGACCUUCGGGCCUCUUGCCAUCGGAUGUGCCCAGAUGGGAUUAGCUAGUAGGUGGGGUAACGGCUCACCUAGGCGACGAUCCCUAGCUGGUCUGAGAGGAUGACCCACCACACUGGAAAAGGAACAAGGGCCCGACCCCCGAGGGAGGGAGCAGGGGGGAAUUAUUGAAAAAGGGGCCAAAGCCUGAUGCACCAAGCCGGGGUGAAGAAAAAAGCCUUUGGGUUGUAAAAGUAUUUCGGGGGGGGGGAAAGGGAGAAAAUUUAAUCCCUUGCCUCUUGGAGUUUACCGGAAAAAGAAGCCCCGGCAAGCCCGGUC